rnacentral:lncRNA from 1 species
GCCAUUAACACAUUUAAUUACUCAAACAAAAGUAUAAUCAAAAUAACAAAGUUUAAAGAGCGUUUAAACCAUUGUUGUCUAUAUUAACACAUUAAGUGCCUAAUACAAAUACACUAUACAAAAUCAUCCUAGGCCUUAACUUCACAUUCAUGAUUCUCACUAUCUUUCAAAGGAUCAUUUAUGACCAUUUCUUUCAUUUACCAACAUUUCCAUAACAAAAAUUCUUGAAGAGUCUUUGUUGCCUCACUUUAAACCAAUUUUCCAA